UACGUAGGUGGCAAGCGUUGUCCGGAAUUAUUGGGCGUAAAGCGCGCGCAGGUGGUUUCUUAAGUCUGAUGUGAAAGCCCACGGCUCAACCGUGGAGGGUCAUUGGAAACUGGGGAACUUGAGUGCAGGAGAGAAGAGUGGAAUUCCACGUGUAGCGGUGAAAUGCGUAGAGAUCGGAAGGAACAUCAGUGGCGAAGGCGACCACCUGGACUGAGACUGACGCUGAGGCGCGAGAGCGUGGGGAGCAAACAGG
rnacentral:rRNA from 1 species